CUGCACUCUGCAUCCCAAGAAGACCUUGUUUGCUUCGUCCAAGAUCUUAUCGCCGUGCUUGAUCAGUUUGUUGGAGUACCAUGUGAGGAAGAACUUCCCCUUCUCGGUCUGGUAUGUUCCGUUGUCCGCAAAGAACUGGGUUUUCUCAGGAGUGUCAUUGUACUCCCCAGCGUCAUCAGGCAAUUCCCACUCAGGAUGCCCAGCUUUUGUUGCUGCAGCUUUGAAGUCUGCUUCCAGUUUCCAGCCGAAAUCAACACUUGGACCAAGAUUAGAGAAUUAGACCGCCUUUGCCCAACACAUGGAUAUAUCCCCUUUUGAUUUAUUAAAGUAAAUAUGGAAGAAUAUUUAUUUCUGGAAAGAGCACUCACUAUGAACUCUCCAACGCCUGGGUACACCCAUCCCUGGCUCUGUGGAUAGGAGGGGUACCUCAUCUCUCCAGCAGGGCCAAGUCCGACCUCAAUGUCCACGAUGACACCAGCGUCCAAGAACUCUGCCAUGUUCUCCCUGAAGCUCUUCAUGUAAUCAGCAUAGAGCUGUCACAGACAGAGAGGCCCCCAAGAUAGCGCAUCAAGAUCACAAGAACGCUUGAUUUCACCAAGGAUUAGUUGUUCUGCCGGCGUUACACUGAAGGUUUUAAGUCAGCUGACCUGAAUUGCAGUUCUCCCCUGGAAGAGAGGCUGGUCAUCCACUCCAAUCGUGAGGUACUCGAUGUUCCUCAUCUUCCUCCGGUUGGUGUAGAAGAUGUCGGGGUUGGCCUCACCAACGUCCCGCACCCACUGCGGGAUCGGGAUGUUGACGAUGUCGCCGACAUUGCCGCCGCACUGGUGGCACGACAUGAUGGCCUGCAGCUUCAGCCCGGCCUCCUGCACCAGCUUGAACACCUGCUUGUAGGCGCUCCAGUCGUAGACCCCGGGCGCCUUCCCUUCCACCAGCCCCCACCAGACGUCGAUCAUGACCCCGUCGGCGCCGGCCUCCACCAGCUUCUGCAGCUGCACCCUCGUCUCGUCGGCCUUCUCGAACGUGUUGUCGACAGUGAUGACAUCCAGCUAUAUGUUCCGCACACGAAGAUCGGAAGAAGAAAGACAGGGAGCCUGGGGGCCUAUUUAUACAGAGGGGAGCACUUCUCCAGCGGCGCACCUUCCAUUCAGCCGGUACAAGCUACUUCCGCGUAGGAACAGGAACGGUGCGCUGUGAGUGUGGGCUGAUUAUAGGGGUGCAAAUGGGUGACUCCUAGGUGCACCUCCAACCCUCUUUAGUUCAAAAUUUUGUACUAGUUUUUCAAAUUGAGAUAUCGUUUUGAAGAAUUAGUAUAAAAUUUUGAACUAAGGAGGGUUGGAGGGGCACCUAAGAGUUACCAAUUGGCACCAUUGGCACCUCUAGCUGAUUAUUUUGGUUACCACCCCAUGCUAGGAAGCUCUCAUCGGUGGUGCUAUCAUCGGUCAUUCGUCGCUGUGAAUCUGUGAUUUGUCGGGCGGCAGUGCCUUUGCUGUUUUGAGUUUUGACGGUCCGCCAAUGAUUGUACUGAAGGCAGGUGAGAAUUAUACGUUUCCUGGUUACUGGAGAGUGAGGGCCGAGCAGAUGCUCUUCUCUUGUCCUCGUUUGUCACAUGUGAAUGAUGUCUGAUGUUACAACAGAGAGUUGCAAGCCCCACACGUCCGAAAAGACUGAGGUUCUGGUUAGAUGUGCUAAAGUUGAGUGCUAAAUUUUAACAGCUAUUAGUACUUAUAUAUUUGCUAAAGUUUUUGAAUGUUAGCUAAAUAUUAGUUCACCUUAUUAGCACUUUUGUUUGGAUGAACUAAUGCUAAAGUAUAGCACUUUUGAACAUUAGCAUUUGGAACCAAAUAUCCUGUCCUGUGAGUUCCAGCAAAGUGGGGUUCGAGCAAAUGUACUUGCACGGUGUAAUUCAAUUUACGGAUGCAAGUACGUGGCAUGUGCAUAUGUUA